rnacentral:rRNA from 1 species
AUUGAACGCUGGCGGCAGGCCUAACACAUGCAAGUCGAGCGGAUGAAGGGAGCUUGCUCCUGGAUUCAGCGGCGGACGGGUGAGUAAUGCCUAGGAAUCUGCCUGGUAGUGGGGGAUAACGUCCGGAAACGGGCGCUAAUACCGCAUACGUCCUGAGGGAGAAAGUGGGGGAUCUUCGGACCUCACGCUAUCAGAUGAGCCUAGGUCGGAUUAGCUAGUUGGUGGGGUAAAGGCCUACCAAGGCGACGAUCCGUAACUGGUCUGAGAGGAUGAUCAGUCACACUGGAACUGAGACACGGUCCAGACUCCUACGGGAGGCAGCAGUGGGGAAUAUUGGACAAUGGGCGAAAGCCUGAUCCAGCCAUGCCGCGUGUGUGAAGAAGGUCUUCGGAUUGUAAAGCACUUUAAGUUGGGAGGAAGGGCAGUAAGUUAAUACCUGGCUGUUUUGACGUUACCAACAGAAUAAGCACCGGCUAACUUCGUG